GUGUGUACUGUGUGUACAGGGCACAUGUGGAGGAGUCUGUAGAGAAACGCGACUGUCUGAGGAAGAGGGCCCUAGAGACGAGGGCACAUGUGGAGGAGUCUGUAGAGAAACGCGACGGUCUGAGCAAGAGGGCACUAGAGACGAGGCUGUUGGAGAUUCUGAACCCGAGUCCUAUGAACUACGAAAAGCACGACUUCCAACUCCAGGUG